rnacentral:rRNA from 1 species
UACGUAGGGUGCGAGCGUUGUCCGGAAUUAUUGGGCGUAAAGAGCUUGUAGGCGGUUUGUCGCGUCUGCUGUGAAAAUCCGGGGCUCAACCCCGGACUUGCAGUGGGUACGGGCAGACUAGAGUGCGGUAGGGGAGAUUGGAAUUCCUGGUGUAGCGGUGGAAUGCGCAGAUAUCAGGAGGAACACCGAUGGCGAAGGCAGAUCUCUGGGCCGAUACUGACGCUGAGGAGCGAAAGCGUGGGGAGCGAACAGG